UACGGGGGGGGGCAAGCGUUGUUCGGAAUUACUGGGCGUAAAGGGCUCGUAGGUGGCCAACUAAGUCAGACGUGAAAUCCCUCAGCUUAACUGGGGAACUGCGUCUGAUACUGGAUGGCUUGAGUUUGGGAGAGGGAUGCGGAAUUCCAGGUGUAGCGGUAGAAAUGCGUAGAUAUCUGGAGGAACACCGGUGGCGAAGGCGGCAUCCUGGACCAAUACUGACACUGAGGAGCGGAAAGCGUGGGGAUGCAAACAGG
rnacentral:rRNA from 1 species